GGAAUUUUGGACAAUGGGGGCAACCCUGAUCCAGCAAUGCCGCGUGUGCGAAGAAGGCCUUCGGGUUGUAAAGCACUUUUGUCGGGGAAGAAAUCUUCUGGGUGAAUAUCCCAGGAGGAUGACGGUACCCGAAGAAUAAGCACCGGCUAACUACGUGCCAGCAGCCGCGGUAAUACGUAGGGUGCAAGCGUUAAUCGGAAUUACUGGGCGUAAAGCGUGCGCAGGUGGUCUGCUAAGACAGUCGUGAAAUCCCCGGGCUUAACCUGGGAACUGCGAUUGUGACUGGCAGGCUAGAGUUCGGCAGAGGGGGGUGGAAUUCCUGGUGUAGCAGUGAAAUGCGUAGAGAUCAGGAGGAACACCGAUGGCGAAGGCAGCCCCCUGGGCUAGAACUGACACUCAUGCACGAAAGCGUGGGGAGCAAACAGGAUUAGAUACCCUGGUAGUCCACGCCCUAAACGAUGUCAAUUAGUUGUUGGUCCUUUACUGGGUCAGUAACGAAGCUAACGCGUGAAAUUGACCGCCUGGGGAGUACGGUCGCAAGAUUAAAACUCAAAUGAAUUGACGG
rnacentral:rRNA from 1 species